rnacentral:rRNA from 1 species
AUGGCCUUACAGUGCUACACGCCUCUGCUGAAGCCCCAACUGGCCCAAGUCUCGGUCAACCCUUCCAUUAACACGAUACAGAUUCCAGAGUCAGUGCUCCGCCCCUCUGCUGAAGCCCUUACUGGCCCAAGUCUCGGCCAGCCCUUCUCUAAAUCAAUGCAGAUUGCAGAUUUGCCUCGCACCAAUAUGCUCCUUGCAUAA